rnacentral:rRNA from 1 species
UACGUAGGGGUCGAGCGUUGUCCGGAGUUACUGGGCGUAAAGCGUGCGCAGGCGGCUCAUUGCGCCCGGCGUGAAAACCCCCGGCUCAACCGGGGAGGGUCGUCGGGGACGGGUGAGCUUGAGGGUAUCAGGGGUUGGUGGAAUUCCCGGUGUAGUGGUGAAAUGCGUAGAUAUCGGGAGGAACACCAGUGGCGAAGGCGACUACCUGGCCUGUUCUUGACGCUGAGGCGCGAAAGCUAGGGGAGCAAACGGG